rnacentral:rRNA from 1 species
AUUGAACGCUGGCGGCAUGCCUUACACAUGCAAGUCGAACGGUAACAGGUCUUCGGAUGCUGACGAGUGGCGAACGGGUGAGUAAUACAUCGGAACGUGCCCAGACGUGGGGGAUAACGAGGCGAAAGCUUUGCUAAUACCGCAUACGAUCUAAGGAUGAAAGCAGGGGACCGCAAGGCCUUGCGCGUUUGGAGCGGCCGAUGGCAGAUUAGGUAGUUGGUGGGAUAAAAGCUUACCAAGCCGACGAUCUGUAGCUGGUCUGAGAGGACGACCAGCCACACUGGGACUGAGACACGGCCCAGACUCCUACGGGAGGCAGCAGUGGGGAAUUUUGGACAAUGGGCGAAAGCCCGAUCCAGCAAUGCCGCGUGCAGGAUGAAGGCCUUCGGGUUGUAAACUGCUUUUGUACGGAACGAAAAGGCUCUGGCUAAUACCUGGGGCACAUGACGGUACCGUAAGAAUAAGCACCGGCUAACUACGUGCCAGCAGCCGCGGUAA